UUCCGGUUGAUCCUGCCGGACCUGACUGCUAUCGGAUUGAUACUAAGCCAUGCGAGUCAUUGUAGCAAUACAAGGCAGACGGCUCAGUAACGCGUAGUCAACCUACCUUAUGGACGGGGAUAACCUCGGGAAACUGAGAAUAAUACCCGAUAGAACAUGAUGCCUGGAAUGGUUUAUGUUUCAAAUAAUUUAUUGCCGUAAGAUGGGACUGCGGCCUAUCAGUUUGUUGGUGAGGUAAUGGCCCACCAAGACUAUUACAGGUACGGGCUCUGAGAGGAGUAGCCCGGAGAUGGGUACUGAGACACGGACCCAGGCCCUAUGGGGCGCAGCAGGCGAGAAAACUUUGCAAUGUGCGAAAGCACGACAAGGUUAAUCCGAGUGGUUUCUGCUAAAGGAACCUUUUGUCAGUCAUAGAAACACUAACGAAUAAGGGGUGGGCAAGUUCUGGUGUCAGCCGCCGCGGUAAAACCAGCACCUCAAGUGGUCAGGAUGAUUAUUGGGCCUAAAGCAUCCGUAGCCUGCUUUGUAAGUUUUCGGUUAAAUCCAUACGCUCAACGUAUGGGCUGCCGGGAAUACUGCAAAGCUAGGGAGUGGGAGAGGUAGACGGUACUCGGUAGGAAGGGGUAAAAUCCUUUGAUCUAUUGAUGACCACCUGUGGCGAAGGCGGUCUACCAGAACACGUCCGACGGUGAGGGAUGAAAGCUGGGGGAGCAAACCGGAUUAGAUACCCGGGUAGUCCCAGCUGUAAACUAUGCAAACUCGGUGAUGCAUUGGCUUGAUGCCAAUGCAGUGCCGCAGGAAAGCCGUUAAGUUUGCCGCCUGGGAAGUACGUACGCAAGUAUGAAACUUAAAGGAAUUGGCGGGGGAGCACCACAAGGGGUGAAGCCUGCGGUUCAAUUGGAUUCAACGCCGGGCGAGCGGAAGC
rnacentral:rRNA from 1 species